rnacentral:rRNA from 1 species
AACGAACGCUGGCGGCAUGCCUAACACAUGCAAGUCGAACGAGACCUUCGGGUCUAGUGGCGCACGGGUGCGUAACGCGUGGGAACCUGCCCUUAGGUUCGGAAUAACUCCCCGAAAGGGGUGCUAAUACCGGAUAAUGUCUUCGGACCAAAGAUUUAUCGCCUUUGGAUGGGCCCGCGUUGGAUUAGCUAGUUGGUAGGGUAAAAGCCUACCAAGGCGACGAUCCAUAGCUGGUCUGAGAGGAUGAUCAGCCACACUGGGACUGAGACACGGCCCAGACUCCUACGGGGGGAAGCAUGGGGGAAUAUGGGACAAGGGGCGAAAGCCUGAUCCAGCAAUGCCGGGUGGGUGAUGAAGGCUUUAGGGUUGUAAAGCUCUUUUCCCCGGGAUGAUAAUGACAGUACCGGGAGAAUAAGCCCCGGCUACCUCCGU